GACAUGAGUUUUUUACAUUAUAAAGUGGUGAAAUGAUUCCCUUUUUUAACAUAAUAUAAAUAGAAAAUAUGGCUACAACUCUCAAGAGUUUUUAUGUCAUGAUUCUUUUUUUAUUUCUUACUGUAACUGAAUUCAAUGCAGAAGCAUGCUUGGUUAAUGCGGAUUGUCCAAGUUCAGAUUGUACAAGGCCUGAGUAUGCAAUGUGCCGUUUGCAUAAUUGUACUUGCUAUGAAGAGAUCUACAGGAACCACGCAGGGCGUCCAUCACUUAUUGGGACUUAAAUUAAGAUUUUGACAAUAUUUUAUUAUAAUUUUAUUUAAAUUAUAUAUUUUUAAUUUUAUGAAAUAUAAAAUAUUUUAAUUCAUUAUGCCAAUGAUUGUAUCUUUUUAUACUUAUAAGGUCUUUUAGUUGUUGUACUACUUGAAUAUUCUUAUUUAUUUAGGCUUAAAUAUAUAUGUAAAAUUAAUUAUUUUUUUGAGACUUAAAGUUUUAGUUUUAUUGACUUUGACUUUGGACCAAUCCUAUAUCCACAUGUAUUUCAUCUAAUAAACGAAUUGGUAUUAAAAA